rnacentral:misc_RNA from 1 species
AGGACUUUCACCUGCUAUACUCUCACUGGUAGUCAAGAUGACUACCCAGCAUGCAGCUGGGUAGUUAUCUUGUUCACUGUAACUUGUACUGGUCGUCACAGCGACGGUGUCGCUUCAUUGAAAGCAUGCGUCACUUCGUGGUCUUGGCCGCUCUGGUGUUGGCUGUCUGCGUCCUGGCUCCGGCACACGCCCUUCCUUCAUACAGAGGGGUUGGUGGGUUCGGACUUGGCAAAAGCUUUAGUGGCCGUAAUUUUGGUGGUGGUGGUGGUGGCGGCUUUGGUGUCGGCGGUUUUGGUGGCCGAAGAGGCGGAGGUUACAAUGGCUAAGCUACGACAAGCAACCAAAUCUUCCCCAGGAACGGGCUCAAGAUGAACUGAAUGAAACUGGUUUGUAGAUAAACAUGAUCUCUCCUGAACAUAAGUCAGAACUAAAUUAAACACUGUGUAUAUGCACCGAGAAGCAUUUGUGUAUGUAUCCCACUUAUUAAACGUAAUAUAUCUGUACCUUGAUCAACAAGAGGUCGUGUACGUCUAACGAUUAGGUGUUCACUACUUAACUUUAUAUCCACCUUAUAACAAUUUUAAUAAAAUACAUAGUUA